UGAACAAUCUGCCCUUCACAUCGGAAUAACCAUUGGAAACGAUGGCUAAUACCGAAUAUGACUUCGGAUCGCAUGAUCUGAAGUGGAAAGCUCCGGCGGUGAAGGAUGAGCUCGCGGCCUAUCAGCUUGUUGGUGAGGUAAUAGCUCACCAAGGCGAUGACGGGUAGCCGGCCUGAGAGGGUGACCGGCCACACUGGGACUGAGACACGGCCCAGACUCCCGUAACGGGG
rnacentral:rRNA from 1 species